UGUAAGCGUAUACCAAAGUUGUUGCAGUUAAAACGCUCGUAGUCGGAAUUUGGCAGUUCCGGAUGUGUGCACGUCGUGUGCGCACUUCGCGGGGAUUGUUUUUGUGGUCUUGCGUAGGAUGAGGCACUUUUAUUAGUGAACGUCCUCACGCAACCACUUUUUACUGUGAGAAAAUCAGAGUGCUCAAAGCAGGCAUUUGCCGUGAAUGUAUUAGCAUGGAAUAAUAGAAUAGGACUUGGUUCUAUUUUGUUGGUUUGUUGGGACUGAGUAAUGAUUAAGAGGGACAGUUGGGGGCAUUUGUAUUUCGGUGCUAGAGGUGAAAUUCUUAGAUUACCGAAAGACAAACUGCUGCGAAAGCGUCUGCCAAGGAUGUUUUCAUUGA
rnacentral:rRNA from 1 species